rnacentral:rRNA from 1 species
AUGAACGCUAGCUACAGGCUUAACACAUGCAAGUCGAGGGGCAGCAUGAACUUAGCUUGCUAAGUUUGAUGGCGACCGGCGCACGGGUGAGUAACACGUAUCCAACCUGCCGAUGACUCGGGGAUAGCCUUUCGAAAGAAAGAUUAAUACCCGAUGGCAUAGUUCUUCCGCAUGGUAGAACUAUUAAAGAAUUUCGGUCAUCGAUGGGGAUGCGUUCCAUUAGGUUGUUGGCGGGGUAACGGCCCACCAAGCCUUCGAUGGAUAGGGGUUCUGAGAGGAAGGUCCCCCACAUUGGAACUGAGACACGGUCCAAACUCCUACGGGAGGCAGCAGUGAGGAAUAUUGGUCAAUGGACGAGAGUCUGAACCAGCCAAGUAGCGUGAAGGAUGACUGCCCUAUGGGUUGUAAACUUCUUUUAUACGGGAAUAAAGUGAGGCACGUGUGCCUUUUUGUAUGUACCGUAUGAAUAAGGAUCGGCUAACUCCGUGCCAGCAGCCGCGGUAAUACGGAGGAUCCGAGCGUUAUCCGGAUUUAUUGGGUUUAAAGGGAGCGUAGGCGGACGCUUAAGUCAGUUGUGAAAGUUUGCGGCUCAACCGUAAAAUUGCAGUUGAUACUGGGUGUCUUGAGUACAGUAGAGGCAGGCGGAAUUCGUGGUGUAGCGGUGAAAUGCUUAGAUAUCACGAAGAACUCCGAUUGCGAAGGCAGCUUGCUGGACUGUAACUGACGCUGAUGCUCGAAAGUGUGGGUAUCAAACAGGAUUAGAUACCCUGGUAGUCCACACAGUAAACGAUGAAUACUCGCUGUUUGCGAUAUACAGUAAGCGGCCAAGCGAAAGCGUUAAGUAUUCCACCUGGGGAGUACGCCGGCAACGGUGAAACUCAAAGGAAUUGACGGGGGCCCGCACAAGCGGAGGAACAUGUGGUUUAAUUCGAUGAUACGCGAGGAACCUUACCCGGGCUUGAAUUGCAACUGAAUGAUGUGGAGACAUGUCAGCCGCAAGGCAGUUGUGAAGGUGCUGCAUGGUUGUCGUCAGCUCGUGUCGUGAGAUGUUGGGUUAAGUCCCGCAACGAGCGCAACCCCUGUGAUUAGUUGCCAGCGAGUAAUGUCGGGAACUCUGUCGAGACUGCCGUCGUAAGAUGUGAGGAAGGUGGGGAUGACGUCAAAUCAGCACGGCCCUUACGUCCGGGGCUACACACGUGUUACAAUGGGGGGUACAGAAGGCAGCUACACGGCGACGUGAUGCUAAUCCCGAAAGCCUCUCUCAGUUCGGACUGGAGUCUGCAACCCGACUCCACGAAGCUGGAUUCGCUAGUAAUCGCGCAUCAGCCACGGCGCGGUGAAUACGUUCCCGGGCCUUGUACACACCGCCCGUCACACCAUGAGAGUUGGGAAUACCCGAAGCCUGUAAGCUAACGCAAGAGGCAGCAGUCGAAGGUAGAAUCAAUGAUUGGGGUG